UAGGUUUUGAUAACUAAAUUAAAUCUCCCCUUGUCUCAACAAAUUCUUAAAUCUACUUUGGUAUUGUUUGGACGUCUAAAAUUUGUAUUUCUUCUAAAUUCUAAGUAAUUUUUGGAAAACUAGAAAAUAUGCCUGGUAAUGAGCAGUUUGCGAGAUUGGUGAUUGAUUCCCUGGAUUCCGUGGGUGGCACCGCGAGCAUGGAUGUAAUCCUGCAUACAAUCCAAGGGGUCAUCCACGUUAGGAUCAUAGACCUGUUCGAUAUAGUGGUGGACAUCUUACACAAUUUUAUGAAGAGGGGAAAAGUCCGAAAGGUGAACGAUGAGUAUCAAAUCGUGAGAAAACAUAGGACCCGCACAGACCUCUUUUGUUUUUAAUGGUGAAUAAGGACAGCAAUGACAAGUUGGAGGACUUUUUCCUAGUUUCUUUUUGUGUGGAAAUUUCAAUUCGGAUGGAAAAUCUUUGUGAACCAGGACUUUAAAUUUUAUAAAAACAUUUAUAGCAAUUUUUCUAUUAUAUGUUAUUUUAAACAAUAAAUUACAAUUCCAAGGA